rnacentral:rRNA from 1 species
UACGAAGGGGGCUAGCGUUGCUCGGAAUCACUGGGCGUAAAGCGCACGUAGGCGGCCUCUUAAGUCAGGGGGGAAAUCCUGGAGCUCAACUCCAGAACUGCCUUUGAUACUGGGAGUCUUGAGUUCGGGAGAGGUGAGUGGAACUGCGAGUGUAGAGGUGAAAUUCGUAGAUAUUCGCAAGAACACCAGUGGCGAAGGCGGCUCACUGGCCCGAUACUGACGCUGAGGUGCGAAAGCGUGGGGAGCAAACAGG